AAACUUACAACUCUGUUUAAGGGAAGGGAGGGGUUUAUGAAGGGCAGAUCCAGAAUCGAUUAUUGUUUGUCUGUGCUUUAUAAAAGAGCAGAAUGAUCCAGUGAAUGAGUCCAGUGAUGCUGAAAAGUCUGAGAAGUCUGAUGACAACACAACAGCAGGAGGAGAAUCUGUAGUCCAGCCUCCUGUACCAUCUGCAACCGAUGAAAACUUUUAUUGCUGUGACCCUGCAGCAGGAGAGACUGAUGAAGGUAAAGAGUCCAUCAGUGAAAGCAGCUGGAACGUGUGUGGACAGUCCACAGAGCAGGGUGAUACAGGGAAGGACGCAGGUCCAACAUCUCAGACUGUUUUAACAGACACCACAGAACAUAAAUGAGUGACCUGAUGGUACAUGGACCUUUCAUAAAGGUGUGGAGCUGAUGAGAUGGAGAACCCUGAUUCUGAGUGUGAACUCAAAUCUAUAAAUCUUUCUGUAGAAGG